UUUUGGUGUGUUGAAAUGAACGGACUAUGACAGUGAGUACAGGUGAUGUAACAUAUGAGGGUAGAACUGACUAUGACAGUGAGUACAGGUGAUGUAACAUAUGAGGGUAGAACUGACUAUGACAGUGAGUACAGGUGAUGUAACAUAUGAGGGUAGAACUGUAGAACUGACUAUGACAGUGAGUACAGGUGAUGUAACAUAUGAGGGUAGAACUGACUAUGACAGUGAGUACAGGUGAUGUAACAUAUGAGGGUAGAACUGACUAUGACAGUGAGUACAGGUGAUGUAACAUAUGAGGGUAGAACUGUAGAACUGACUAUGACAGUGAGUACAGGUGAUGUAACAUAUGAGGGUAGAACUGACUAUGACAGUGAGUACAGGUGAUGUAACAUAUGAGGGUAGAACUGACUAUGACAGUGAGUACAGGUGAUGUAACAUAUGAGGGUAGAACUGACUAUGACAGUGAGUACAGGUGAUGUAACAUAUGAGGGUAGAACUGACUAUGACAGUGAGUACAGGUGAUGUAACACAUGAGGUAGAACUGACUAUGACAGUGAGUACAGGUGAUGUAACAUAUGAGGGUAGAACUGACUAUGACAGUGAGUACAGGUGAUGUAACAUAUGAGGGUAGAACUGACUAUGACAGUGAGUACAGGUGAUGUAACAUAUGAGGGUAGAACUGUAGAACUGACUAUGACAGUGAGUAAGGGUGAUGUAACAUGAGGGUAGAACUGUAGAACUGACUAUGACAGUGAGUACAGGUGAUGUAACAUAUGAGGGUAGAACUGACUAUGACAGUGAGUACAGGUGAUGUAACAUAUGAGGGUAGAACUGACUAUGACAGUGAGUACAGGUGAUGUAACAUAUGAGGGUAGAACUGACUAUGACAGUGAGUACAGGUGAUGUAACAUAUGAGGGUAGAACUGACUAUGACAGUGAGUACAGGUGAUGUAACAUAUGAGGGUAGAACUGACUAUGACAGUGAGUACAGGUGAUGUAACAUAUGAGGGUAGAACUGACUAUGACAGUGAGUACAGGUGAUGUGACAUAUGAGGGUAGAACUGUAGAACUCACUGUUAACUGUAGCACACACACUUCAGACAGCAUGUGGCUGUGAUCUAUAUGUGGUUUGUCCGCAAUGACAUUUGACCUCUGACAUGGC